rnacentral:rRNA from 1 species
UACGUAGGGUGCGAGCGUUAAUCGGAAUUACUGGGCGUAAAGCGCACGUAGGCGGGACGAUAAGUUAGGGGUGAAAGCCCAAGGCUCAACCUUGGAAUUGCCUUUGAUACUGUCGUUCUUGAGUCCGGGAGAGGUGAGUGGAACUCCGAGUGUAGAGGUGAAAUUCGUAGAUAUUCGGAAGAACACCAGUGGCGAAGGCGGCUCACUGGCCCGGUACUGACGCUGAGGUGCGAAAGCGUGGGGAGCAAACAGG